UCUCUGUUAGUAUAUCGGUUAGUACACGCGCCUGUCAUACAAUGACCGCGCGAAAGCGGGGUUCGACUCCCCGACAGAGAG
rnacentral:tRNA from 1 species